rnacentral:misc_RNA from 1 species
GAUGAAGAACGUAGCGAAAUGCGAUAAGUAGUGUGAAUUGCAGAAUUCAGUGAAUCAUCGAAUAUUUGAACGCACAUUGCGCCCCUUGGUAUUCCAUGGGGCAUGCCUGUUCGAGCGUCAUUUGUACCUUCAAGCUCUGCUUGGUGUUGGGUGUUUGUCUCGCCUCUGCGUGUAGACUCGCCUCAAAACAAUUGGCAGCCGGCGUAUUGAUUUCGGAGCGCAGUACAUCUCGCGCUUUGCACUCAUAACGACGACGUCCAAAAGUACAUUUUUACACUCUUGACCUCGGAUCAGGUAGGGAUACCCGCUGAACUUAAGCAUAUCAAUAAGCGGAGGA